rnacentral:rRNA from 2 species
UACGAAGGAUGCAAGCGUUAUCCGGAAUUAUUGGGUUUAAAGGGUGCGUAGGCGGACCUAUAAGUCAGUGGUGAAAGCCCCAAGCUCAACUUGGGAACUGCCAUUGAUACUGUUGGUCUUGAGUACAGUUGAGGUAGGCGGAAUGCGUCAUGUAGCGGUGAAAUGCUUAGAUAUGACACAGAACACCGAUUGCGAAGGCAGCUUGCUAAGCUGUAACUGACGCUGAUGCACGAAAGCGUGGGUAGCAAACAGG